CACCCCACCCCACCCGCUGCCCCGAUCCCCACCUUGACCUCCCUUGAUCCCCUCCCCCGAGUGCCACCACCCUCGCUGGAUCUCGCCGCCCUGCGCGCCUCCUCCCGCAGGCCGACCUACCCAAGGCGCCGCCGCCCCCCGACCAACCAGCGCGGGGUCGCUGGGUGCCGCCCACGCCACCGGGAACCUGCUGCCGCACUUCCGCCAUGGCCGCACGCUCCUCCGCGGCCCAAUCGUCGCCGCCGCCGGGGAUCCUCGAGCACCAUCAUCCUGGCACGCAGUCCAUGGCUGCCUCCCCACGCAGUCCCCUUCUUGCUGCCGACGCGAAUCCUGUCAACCCCUUCCUCUUCUCCUUCUCUUCCUCCAGUGAUAUUUGCUGGAUCCUGCCGCCGUUAACACCAGGCAUCGGAACCCCGGCCCUGCACUCCAUCGCUACGCCCUGUCUUCUUCUCGCUGCGGCUGCUCCACAUCGCGUCCGCCUGUCGUCGCGACGCCCCCAACUCGCCUGCUUUCCCCAACGCCUGUUGGUUGACCUUCUCGCAAAGGCCACCUCGACCUUCUCGAGGAAGGUUACUUCCGAGGACCCGGCUCACAAGGUGCACACCAUCUCGUCCUAGCUGCUGCUGUGUGCAGAUCCGCCGACCUGAAGACGCAAGAGAGGGAGAUACAGAGCAUGAGUAGAACAUGGACUGCUCGCACACGCCGCCACAGACUGCUCCGCUGCCAUCCCCGUCGUGCUGUGUCCACGGGGCUCCUUGACCCAUCGACAGCGACAACUGCACACAGCCGCCUGCUCCUCAACUCCGACAGCCGUGCAGGCAGCUAUCCCUCCUGGAGGCCGACACCACGCUAGCUGCUUGCUUCCACUCACGUGCUUGUGAAUGGAUGAUGCCUGUAGAUAUUCAUUUGCUUCAGUGACUCGUAUGCUUCCGUGUCUACGCUCAUCCUGAGUAUUCUCUGUCUGUGGUUCAUGCAUACAUCAUAUAUUUGAUGCUAACAUGUGUCUAAUGCAGACCACUAAAAAAGACAAUUCACUUAGUUAUAAAAAAGUAGUGUUUGUUC